GAAAUGUUCUAAAUUUUAAGUGUGCAUGCUUAACAAAAUCACCAGCAUUCGCAUUCAAAUAUUCUAGGUUUACAACAAGAAAAUUGUGUUUGAAUAUAUUAUAUUAGUCCAGAUUACUCUGACGUCCAACGGCUGUUUUGCCAGACAAGCUGGGGCCGUCCCAAAUCUCAGAGUAAUCUCGGAUUAAUAUUAUAUCAAUCUCAUACUUUCAUGACCUUUUUCUCCCAGAAACCCAAAUGGUCCGACCCCUAUGCAGAUGACCUAUACACACCUGAACUCUUAGGUCCACAAAUUUUCAAAUCAAUUACAUGAAUGAUAGAAGUACCAUGAGCUAUGCCUAUGCAUUGCCUAUGGUUACAUGUAUAUUUCA
rnacentral:lncRNA from 1 species